CAGCCGCCAACUUGUUGCAUUUAUCUCAUUGACGUGGUUCCUCCAAACUUCAAAUCUCAAUGAUUAUACUUUCUUCGUCUCAAAAUAAAUGACCUAAAAGUGACUCAACUUUAUAUUAAUUUUAGUAUAAAAUUAAGUCAUUUUUAAGUCAUUUAUUUUGGGACGAAGGGAGUAUAUGCUAAUGAGAAAUAUAGUCAAGAAACUGUCAAUAACUUACAUGUAUCGGGAAUAAAGCACCCUCGGAUAUCUUCGUCAGAUAAAAACUUACUUAUAUCACAUGUACACCUGCAAACUGACAAUGAGCGGCAUCUGAGGAUGCAUGAUAAUAUAAUCAUCCUGAUUAUAUUCGUCCAGUAGCCGUUCAUUUCUUUCAUGAGGAAGCUAGUAAUACAGAUCAUUGAACUCCGUUUUUUAAACUAUACACUCCAAGAAGGCAAUGUUAAUAAGUACUCCUUUUGUUACGGUUUACAAUGCAUAGUUAAAUUUACGUACGUUUUCAUAAUAGACAAGGUUUAAUUAAAACACAUUGUAUUUACUUUUAAUAGUUAAUUACUCCCUCCGUUUCUAAAUAUAAAUCUUUUAAGAUAUUUCACUAGGAGUCCACAUACGAAGUAAAAUGAGUGAAUCUACACUCUAAAGUAUGUCUAUAUACAUCCGUAUGUAGUCCACUCAUGAAAUCUCUUUAAAGACUUAUAUUUAGGAACGGAGGGAGUAGUACUCUGAUGUACUAUUUUUAUUUACAUGCAUAGUGUGAAUGUUAUUUUUGAACCCAUCUCACAUCCAAUCAAUAACCACCUUGAUUCCAGAGAAUUUCCAAACGCGCCUUCUAAACCGUGACGGAGGGAGUAGGUCAUGUCUCUACAUAAUGGAAGACUAAAACAAGAUUAGUUAUUGCAUUGACCGUCUGGGAAAUAACAAUGUAUAAAUAGCUCAUGUACCUCAGGUUGUAUCUUAGCCUCGCAUUACUAAAAAAGACUUUCGCCCCGCUUUAUAAAUAAAGCAAAUCACCGAACCACAAUAUCCAAACAAGAGUACCAAGCACACACACGCACACGCCGUACCCGAAGUAGCACAACAACACAAGGUAUCAGGUUAAGGUUGUGGGCACAUCACAACAAGCCCAAACAAAAAGGAGGCAACAGGGUGGCGCGGCAUCAAACAAUGGGACCUCAGUCCGGCUUUGGAGGUGGAGGAGGAAGCAGCGACGCCAAGCGGAGAGCCAUCGCACGAAUACGGGAGAUGAUGGAGUUGAUGGCGUCUCUGUCCCGCGAUCGGCUAAGCGGCCGCCAGAGCUGCAGAUAUCCACACAGUUUAAACACCGCAUCAGUAGCACGUCGAAGAGGAACACGCUGAAUAACGAGCUUAUUGCGAACAGUCCACAGUGUCCAGGCUAGGACCCCCAACGUCAACCACCUAGUGUGGCGGACAGCAGUGGGUGUAGCCUGAAGUUUGGCGAGCAGGUCGGGGAAGUUUGUGUGGCACGAGUUGCCACCGACCGCCUCGCGGAAACAAUUCCAGAGGAAUUGCGCAAACACGCAAGAGAAGGGUGAUUAGAGUCCUCUCCCGUCCCACAGAGCGGGCAUAUACCUUCCCAUGGUCCGUUUCGUUUGAGGACCUCAACACCAGAGGGGAGGCGGCCACGAAGCCACUGCCACAGGAAAAUUUGAAUCUUCAAGGGGAGCCUGGUCUCCCAAAGGGCCGCGAGAGGCGUGAAACCAGGGAAGGCGCAAUUCCUGGUAAAGGGAUUUCGUAGAGAAGCAGACUGAUGGCUCCAAACGCCAAGAGAUGCGGUCGUCGGAGCGGUCCAAGUCUGCGGCGUGAAGGGCGAUGGAGUCCAGCAUCUCCUGCCAGGCAACCGUGUCAAGCGGCCCGAAAGGGCGUCGAAAGGCAAGGCGCCCGAGGCCAUUGAGGGCCACCUCCACCGAUAUCCUCGGCAUGACCGCGAUGGAGAAAAGGCCUAGGAAGCGGGCCGCAAAUGGGAGUGAGCUGGCCCAGCAGUCAAACCAGAACAAGGUGGAUGUCCCAGACCCAACAUCGACAGAGGUCCCAAUGCAGAGAACCGGGAGCAGUUGGAUGAGGGACUGCCAGAACUGAGAUCCCCCAGACCAAUGGCAACAGGCCAAAGGCUGGCCGCGAAGGUACUUAUUCUGAAUAAUGCGAAGCCAGAGGCCCCCCUCUCCCCGCGAGAUCCUCCAGAGCCAUCUAGCGAGCAGAGCGAUAUUCAUACGCUUGGAAGACAUGAUCCCCAAGCCACCCUGGUCGUGUGGUUUGCAUAUCUCCGACCAUCGAACCAUGUGGUACUUCUGCUUAUCUCCGUCCCUUGCCCAGAAGAAGCGCGCCUGAACCGUGGCGAUCUCGUGGUGAAGGGUCUCAGGCAGGCUGUAAAAGCUCAUCAGGAAGAGCAGCAAGCUGGACAGGUAGGAGUUGAUGAGGACCGUCCUGGCAACUUUCGAGAGCCAACGUCCCUGCCAAGGUUCAAUACGGUGCUGCAGCUUGGCAACCGUAGGCCACAACUCCGCCAUUGAGAGGCGGUAGUCGCUGAUGGGUAUCCCCAAGUAGGCCGUUGGGAAGGACCCAACCUGGCAAUUAAGUCGGUCGGCGAUGCUCUGGGCCGCGGCAGGGGGAUAGCCCAUGACCAUGACCGCGCUUUUAUUAAAGUUAAUCCUGAGACCCGACAUCUGUUGGAAACAUAGAAGAAGGAAUUUCAGGUGCGAGAUGUCAUCGUCCAAGCCCUCGACCAUGAUGAUCGUGUCAUCAGCGUACUGCAGAAGAGAAACGCCUGGACCACCCACCAAGUGAGGGAUGAUUUCACAAAUGCGGACGGCCUCCUUUGCCUUGUCCAGGAUGGAGGCAAGCACAUCGACCAUCAUGUUGAACAAGAAUGGGGAAAAAGGAUCGCCUUGGCGAACCCCACACAUGGUGAGAAAGUAGAGUCCGAUCUCCCCACUGAUUUUAACAACAGUACGGCCAGACGAGACCAUCUGCAUCACCCGGGUGACCCAACGAUCGUCGAAUUCCUUGCACAAGAGAACUUCCCGGAGAAAAUCUCAGCUAAAAGUGUCGUAGGCCUUAUGAAAGUCGAGCUUCAGAAAAACCGCCUUGAGGUUCCUGGAGCGGAGCUCGUGGAUGGUCUCGUGAAGGACGAGCAUCCCAUCCAAGAUGAAUCAGCCGCGGAUGAAGGCCGGCUGAUCAGGAUGGCUGAUUCUGUCGACGAGGAGGGUCACCCUAUUGGUGUACCCUUUCGCCAGGAUGCGAAAGAUGACAUUGAUCACCGUGAUCGAUCGGAAUUGGCCAAUCUCCGCUGCACCUGAAACUUUUGGAAUGAUAUAGUGAUCUUAGCCUCGCAUUCAGCGUUAAAAUAUCCAUUAUCCAUGAAGGAAGCCUUCAGACAAUCCAUGUUGAAGACACAUCGCACACAGAAAUAACACAAGCAUCUACGGUCAAGGAGAGCAGCAACGACACAGUACCCGCGCUCCUGCGACGCGCCGCCCCGGCGCCCGCAUCCACCAGUGCCGCUGCUCUCGCCGGCCAGCUCAGCUCGGCUACGGGGUCCAUCGUCCCUAGCCCGUCGAGGCUCCCAUCCCCUGCAUCGCCCCAGUUCCUGCCGGGUUUCUCGCUGCGCUCCACGGCCCGAGAUGCCCCGUCAUGCCGGUUUCAGUUCCGGUCAGCUACGGAGUCCAGACCUCUGGAGAGCGGCCCUCGUGCCUCGGCUGCCUCCCCGCAGCGCAUCGUCGAUGAGGCCUCAGGGAGGGUGCUGCCCUGCAUCACACUUCGGGAGGAGCUGGCGGAUCCGAUGAGGGGAUUCGUGGACCGGAGCUCAGGGUGCGUCCUCCCAUGCGUAGCUUUGAAGGCGAUGGAGGAGCCGCUGGGUGGCGAUGUAAGUCUCUCCACCACCCUGCUUCCUUCCUCUUCUAGGUCCUCUUCCCCCUUGCAGCCGGCAGCGACAGGGCUGCCGCUUCGUUCUGGGGAAGAUCUGGCAGGCUCUUCAAUGCCGGAUCCUCGCCCCUCCUUGAUGGCGUCGCGGGAAGGGGAGCCUGCCCGCGGGCUGGCAAGCGCCGGAGCCCCUUCAAGGCGCGCCACCCCUAUCCGCCCCAAAACGGACCUGACCGGCGUGCCCAGGCCGAGACUCCGCUCCAUUAUUGUUGCGCCGUUGGUAAGGGAGCAGGCUGGUGGGAUGGCAUGCGCGGAUGCGCCUUCAAGGAGCGAGCUCUGCGGUGUGCCAGUCUCUCAAGACCAAGCUGCUAGAGAGGAUUGGACGCUCGUCUCCUCUCGGCGCGCUCGUAUCCUGGCACGGCGGCAGGAGGAUCUGCAUCCCCAGUUGCCAAGAGUUCCAGAACGCUCUGCUCUCUCUCCCGCGGAGGCAUUCAAGAGGCGUUUCGGGAAUCGCUGUUUCCGCUGCCUAGGCUCCAGGCACAAAUCCUCCCACUGCCGCGACCCUCCAAUCUGCUACACUUGCAAGCGGACGGGCCACUUCGAGCGCGCAUGUCCCAAUCGCCACCAAAAAGAUUCAGUCCAACACCGGGUGCUUCCUCCCCAUCCUCCUGCUCCGCCUGCGGCCGCCGGAGGGUCCGCUCCACCGCUCCUGCCUGCUGCUGCUGAUCUGGGGUCUCCCGCCUACACCCAGGUCAUCGCAGCGCAAGGCCACUCGUCUGCCCCGGCGCCUAAGAUGGUUGCGGGGCUCAUUCCGGGCGCGGCGCACCGUAGGCCGGCAACCUCAACCUGCUCGGUGGUCAGCACCCCGAAGAUGGAGGACGAGUCCUACCGCCUGCGCACCACGGCGCUCCUGCUCACAGCCGCGGGUCCUUGCUCUGGCAUCACCGCGGACAUGGUGGCUGAAGCGGUGGAGCACGACCAAGGAUUACCUCGUCGGGAUAUCUGCGCUGCGCCUUGUUUCCCAGAAGACUUCCUGUUGGUGCUGUCCGAAGGCCACCAGCGUGAUCUCGUCUUCGAGCGGCGCCAGCUGGUGGUGGCCGGAGUUAAGUUUCUGCUAAGGCCUUGGUUCCCCCCGCCGGGCGGGAAUAGGGUGUGGAGAUUCUACUGCAGAGUCGCCAUCGAAGGGCUGCCCCUGAAUGCAUGGUCCUGGGACAACGUCCAAGAGGUAGUUGGCAAGAAAUGCAGGCUUGAUCUCAUCGAGCGACAGUCCACCACCAAGGCCAAUGUGUCUGCCCUCUUUGCUUGGGUGUAGGCAUGGGACCCGGAUCUAAUUCCCUAGGCAUCUGACUUUAAUGUCAUUAGCCGACCAGAUGUUGCAAGGCCGCGGAGAUCGCUGCCGGAGGGUACUCCCGCGGAGCAAGGAAAGGAAGGCCCCCAUUUCUCGGUGCUUAUUCACUUGGAUAUGGUAAAGGACUACUCGCCUGUGGAGAAUGAGGACUUGGAGUGGCCAAUAAUAUUUGAGCACAAAGACUGGAAGAUGGGGUGCAAGGAUGGUGAGCACAGGGCUCGUACUGCUGCCUCCGCUCGCUGCUCGCUAGCUGCUUGCCGUAAUGAUGAUGAUGUUGAUGACAACUACAAUGGUGGCAACAGGCAUCGGGGUAAGAGUGGCGGGGCGCGCGACGGUUUCUGGCAGGGUAUGCGGGACAAGGCUCAUUGCCGGGAUGCUGCGGCUAGUGCGCCGGCGCCUGGGAGAUACAGGAGGCAUGCUGACCCAGUGGCUCCAUCGGCACCUGCUCGUGGCAGGGCAGCUGCUCGGGACGGGCAUGGUGGCUGGCAAGGCUGUUGGACUUGCUAUGCAGCAAUCGCGGAAGAAGACCAGUAUCUUCGUUACCCCUGACUUGCAUACAAUACAGGGGCAGGAGUCCGUCGGCAAGGACAUGCAGCAGAAGCCUGAAGACAGUAUCAGUGAUGCGCUUAGUGCGACAGAUGUUCAAGUUGGGCAGGCUGGCCCAGCGGGCUCGCCAGUUUCGGUGGAUCCUCCCCCUGAUCGGAUUUGCGAUGCGGUGCAAGGGGAGGGGUACGCGGCUCAAUGGUGUCCUCCAGGCGAGUUACUGCCGCUCUUCUCGGCACCGCGCCUCACCUCGCAGGCCGGCGGCAGUGAUCACAAGGGUUGGGCUGGCUUCUUCAACGCUGAUGUGCCUCAUGGCUCCUGGGCGAGCACAUGCCAGCUAAUCAGCGCUGAACCUCGCUGCUACGAGCUGCCGCCGCUACCUCCUUCGCUGGAGUCGCCGGUCUGGGACUGGUCGGUUCUUCAGCAGCCAUCGCUGGUGCAACAAGGAUGGCCGCCGGUUUUCGGAGAGGGCAUGUACUGGCUGCCAGGUUGGGAUGCAGCCAGUCUGCAAGUGUCGCGGGCUGAGCCUUAUUGGGCGGUUGGCCCGGAAGGAGUCUUUGGGCCUGGGGCAGGAAUCAACUACGUUCCCAUCAACGAACCUCCAGUUCAAUCGGAGAAAGAGAAGCGUGCAAGACGUGCCCUUGCGGACGCAAACCUUACUGGACCUGGUCUCGUGGCUGCUAUCACGCAGAGGGUGGCCGCUCUGCAGAUUGACGAGCAGCGGGCUUUCAUUGGGAAGAUUUAUUCCCUACUGUCGGCAUCCAUUCUCAGCUCGCCGCCGCAGGCCAUCUCGUCGCGUCAAAAGAUGAAGAAGAAGCUGCUCGGCGCAGUCAAAGCACCAAGGCAGAGUGCGCGCCUUUCUCGGAUGCAGUCAAGCUUUUCAUCAUCAAGGAGGUCUCAGGAGGCCAUCUGUGUACAGCUAGGGCUCAUCAAGCGCGAAGCUGAUUUCAAUGACAGCACGCUUCGCGCCUACGUCGACUUCUUCCGCGAGCCCAUGCCACCGGAGAACGUGGCAAAACUCACACAGAUUGCAGGACUUUCCUCUCCAGCCCAGCUUCGCCUGCCAGAAUCAGAACUCCAAGCCAUCCUGGAGGAGCUCUCUGUCCGAGCUGUCUGACGCCUGAUAGGGCUGGAUCACCGUUGCAUUUCUAGUUUCCAUGAUUAGUUGCUACUCUGAAUAUCAGUUUGUAAUGUUGGCUGCACAUCUUUGUUGCGCCGCUCGUACCAAACUUUGUAUCCGUCCGUGGUUAGUUAAGUCGGCUGCGUGUCCUUGUCGCGCCAGGUACCCAAACUUCGACUGCCCUUGCUGGUGGGGCGCCCGGCACUAUGAGAAAGUUCCGUUAUGCAGUACUACCUUGUUAUCCAAUGAAUGACAACCUUGCUAUUUUUAGUUGGAACGUGAGGGAUCUGAAUGAUAAAGCUAGACGGGCUGCUUCUAGGGCAACCAUUGACAGUCUUGCCUGCUCUAUUAUAUGCCUGCAGGAGACUAAGCUGUCCGCUUGCUCCUCUGCUGACCGCACAGAAAUUGUGGGUCAACGGUUUGAUCAACACGCGUCGCGGGACACCGAUGGCUCGCGUGGGGGUAUCCUUAUGUGUUGGUGCUCUGACAAGUUAUCCGCCAGUGCGGUCGUGGCGCGACCUUUCCCGGUCACGGUGUGCUUCUCGCCGGUGGGAGGAGGUCCGGCAUGGUCCCUGACCACGGUAUAUGGCCCCCACGAUGAUCAGCGGAAGAGUGACUUCCUGGCGGAGCUAGCUGAUAUUCAUAACUCCAUGACCGGUCCGUGGCUUAUCAUUGGCGAUUUCAAUCUAAUAACGGACCCGCGAGAUAAAAGCAAUAGUAGGGUGUACCGUCGUUGGAUGUUGAAAUUCCGGCGUACACUGAACUCCUCUAAUCUACGUGAGAUCCCGCUUAUUGGGCGCAAAUUUACAUGGAGUAAUGAACAUGAUGUACCCACUCUGGUUCGCCUGGACCGUGCCUUUUGCAAUAUGGACUGGGAGUUGAUCUUCACUGCUGCCAAACUACUUCCGCAAUCAUCAGCGAUCUCCGAUCAUUUCCCAUUGCUUCUCCUCAACGAUAAGAUUGUCAAAACCAACAGGAGGUUCCGUUUCGAAUCCUACUGGCAAUUUGUGCACGGCUUCAAGGAGGUGGUGGAGCGGUCCUGGGCAGCAUAUGCUGGCAAUGCAUGCCCCAUCACCAUGUUAAACCGCAAGUUGUGGCGGUUGAGUAAGGAUCUGCGCUCGUGGAGUAAAAACAUUGUGGGCGAUUUGCAAAGACAAUUUCAUAUUAUCACAGAAAUCAUACUGCAGCUGGACAAGGCGCAGGAUUAUAGAGUUCUCUCCCAGGAGGAGAGUGAUCUGCGAUCAAGGUUAAAAGCUCGCACCCUAGGGCUUGCGGUUCUUCUCAAGAUCAAGUUGCGGCAAAGAAGUAGGAUCCUUUGGCUUAAGGCGGGUGACGCCAACACGAAGUUCUUCCAACGAAAGGCAAACGCCAGGCACAAUAAAAAUACUAUUCAUGCGCUACAGGGUCCUGUUGGAAUGAUCUCUUCUUCGGACGGCAUGACCGAACUAGCGCACAGCCAUUUUACGCAGAUUUUUGGAUGCCUUAAGCACAGAUCGGCAGCACUAAACUGGGAUGUCUUGGAUCUCGAGCAUGUGGAUCUGACCGGACUAGAGCAUGACUUUUCGAUGGAAGAGAUCAAGAGCGCCAUUAAUGCGAUUCCGGCGGAUAAGGCGCCAGGACCAGAUGGUUUCUCAGGCGGUUUCUAUAAAGCUUGUUGGGACACAGUCAAACUUGAUCUACUGGCAGCGCUGAAUCAGCUAUUCCGGAUGGACAGUCGCGGGCUAGACAGAGUGAACCACGCUUUGCUCGUUCUCCUCCCAAAGAGAAUGGGGGCAAAUGCACUGCAAGAUUUCAGGCCAAUUUCACUGCUCCAUAGCGUGAUUAAAAUCUUCUCAAAAAUACUAGCCUCCAGGCUGGCCCCAAAACUCCCUUUGCUAGUCGAUCAGUGCCAGAGCGCCUUCAUCAAAUCCCGUAGUAUUCAAGAAAACUUCUUGCUAGUUCAAAACACAGUCAGAUCUUUUCACAAAUCCAAGAAGCCGGCAGUCCUGCUAAAGCUAGACAUUGCGAAGGCCUUUGAUUCAGUAUCAUGGGCAUAACUGCUGGACAUGUUGCAAGCCAGGGGUUUUGGCCGGCAUUGGAGGGAAUGGAUUUCAAUGCUUCUGAGAACUUCUGCUUCACGGGUCCUGAUUAAUGGGCAAAUGUCGAAGAUCAUUCAACACAAGUGUGGUCUUAGGCAGGGAGACCCGUUGUCGCCAUUCCUUUUCAUUCUGGCCAUGGACCCACUGCAGAGGAUGGUGUCCGUUGCGACAGAACAAGGGGUGUUGUCAAAGCUGCCUGGACGAAGUAGGGUGCCUCGAUGCUCUUUCUACGCGGACGACGUGGCGCUAUUCAUGAAUCCAUCCGAGCGCGAUGCUAGGAUGAUCAAGCUAAUCCUAACAUGCUUUGGCUCGGCCUCUGGCCUAUUUACUAAUGCUGCUAAGAGCUCGGCUCUACCGAUACGCUGUGGCGCAAUGGAUCUUACGCAUGCCUUGGCGCAUCUGGGUUUCCCUAUACAAUAUUUCCCUACAUCCUACCUCGGAAUGCCUUUGUCUACUCGCAAGCUCACAAAGUUAGAAUUGGAUCCGCUGGUCUCCAAGUUCGGGAACAAAGCGGCUGGCUGGAAGGGUAGGCUAAUGGCCAAGAGCGGUAGACUGGUGCUGCUUAAAUCGGGUCUGUCCUCGCUUGCGAUCUACAUGAUGACGAUCCACAAACUGCCAGCCUGGGUGUUGAAGCGAUUAACUCAGAUUUGUCGCUCGUGGCUGUGGAAUGGAGACACGGUGUGCAAUGGUGGGAACUGCAGAGUUGCAUGGAAGUUGAUCUGUAGACCGAAGCACCUAGGGGGGCUAGGGGUACUCGACCUGUCAAAGUUUGGGAGGGCGCUGAGGCUGCGAUGGCUGUGGUUGGCGUAGAAACAUCCGGACCGCCCUUGGGUGAACUCUCCAUUGCCAUGUUCUAACGAGGAGAAGGAAUUGUUCGCGAUGGCCACGGAGAUUACGGUGGGUGACGGUAAGGCAACAAAUUUCUGGCAUGAUCGCUGGCUCGAGGGUUUCUGCCCAAAGUGGAUCGCCCCGUCUCUCUUCAGGAUCGCGGCGAGAAAAAUAGAUCGGUCUGGGACGCGAUUAAGGAUGAUAAGUGGUUGCAUGACUUGUCUAGGGGGCUACGAGAUGACAUGCUUGACGAGCUAUAUGCACUGGCUUCUAGGCUGGAUCAUGUGCGGCUGCAAGAGGGGCAGCACGACUCCAUCAUCUGGCGAUUCUCGCAGGACAGAGCAUAUAGUGCGCGCUCGGCAUACCGGCUACAGUUCGAGGGUGCGGUGCAAAUGGCCGGGUACAAGCUCAUCUGGCGAGGUUGGGCACCAAGCAAGUGUAGAUUCUUAGUCUGGAUGAUUAUGUUGGAUAAGAUACUGACGGCAGAUGCCCUUUUGCGAAGGGGAUGGGAUAAUGAUUAUUUCUGCCCUCUCUGUCAGAGGAACCUAGAAACGCCGUCGCAGCUAUUCGUUGACUGCCCCUGGUCAAGGAACAUCUGGAACUACAUUGCCACACUAGUGGAUAUGCCUGCCCUAUGUCCGGCUAGCUGGAAGAUGGAUUUAAAAUACUCAACAUGGUUUAACGGUAGAUGUGCGCAGACUACCAAAGAGAGGAAAAAGGGACUAAUCUCCCUGGUGCACUUGAUCACUUGGGAAAUUUGGCGGGAGAGGAACAGGAGGGUCUUUCAACGAGAACUAAUGUGGAAGGCUUCCGGUGCAGGAUUUCUGAAGAGAUUAGGCUUUGGAACUGCGCGGGAGCUGGGAUUCCCUUUGAUCCUGGUUGAGGCGUUCCUUCCUCUUAGAUCUCCUUGCUCUUGUUUUUUCCUUCUUUUUUAGUUCUUCUCUUUCGGUUUUCAGUCUCCCCUCUUAUCUUUCUCCCCUUGCCAGUCAUGCUUGGGACCGGACGCUGUACAUUGUUCCCCCCACUGAUCAACGAAUUUGGCUUUGGCCAACAUUCAAAAAAAAACAUAACACUGUGGCCUGUGGGUAACACGCACUCGCACAUGUGCGCCGUCCCUAUGGGCUUCGUUGGUGCCUACUGGAGCCGCCACCAGCUGCUUGUUGAGAGCUAUUUGAAUGUCUUGAAUGUUCAAAUGAUCUAAAAUUUGAAGGGUACCUCACACACCAAAUUAUCUAGCAUGUAAAAUAUUUUUGGAUUAUUUUUUUAUUUUCUAUAUUUUUUGUGAUUAUUUUUUUGAUCGGAUGCAGAUGAACCUAGACCCAGAAAUGGAUAUUUGUUCCCUUAUCCAUUAUCUAUAUGAAGGGGGUACGGAGUUAUGGACGUUUACAACUUAAUAAUUUUCCUAGUAUUUGAGCUGCAACUACUCCUACCCACUUGCAUGACAUCUUUGCGAACAUACACAGGACCCGUUCCUUGUGUGAAGAUGACAUGCUUAAGCCAAACAAAAGCCUUCAUACAUGCAAUAUGUAGCCCCUCAAGUUUCUUGAAUAAUUAACUAAAUUAAUGAACACAUAUUCAAACGAGAUGGCUUCUUAGUUGAGUGUACAUGAAAAAUAUACGCGGGUUCACACAUAUCAUGUGGCAGCUUGUGGAUUUUUGUAGUUUUGUUUUGAACUUUAUAAGUGUGAUUGUAGGGAUUCGGUCAUAUCUUCUUAUUUAAUUCUAAGGGUUUCAAGUCCCCUACGCUACUUCUUAAAGGAAACAAAACCAUUGAAACAAUUCCAGCGUUCAUCCACAAGUACGUUGAAGUCUACCCCGCAAAAAAAAAGGAAAUUAUUAUUUCUGUAACUUUAGUUUUUGCUAAUUUUCCCUAUGUUACUUCAGAUUUUGACAUCUCACUUUUAUCACACUUAGCUUCCCAUAUGUACCCAUUAGUGACUCGCGAUCUCUUUGUCGCUGACAUGCGGCCUAUGAUGUCUAAGCUCCAACACCGGAUUGAACCGUGGCAAGUCCGGUGAUUGUCCAAGGCGGCCAGGACCGUGCUCAUCAACUCCUCCCUGUCCAGCCUUCUCAUUUUCGUGAUGAGCUUCUACAGUCUUCAUGAGACUCUGCAUCAUGAGGUUGCCAAGUAUCAGUCUAGAUUUUACUGGGCUGGCGAGGGCGAUAAGCAGAAAUACCACGUGGUCUCGUCGGGGUCAUCUUUGUUGAAACCCUUUGGUUGUGUCUUUUGAUACUUAUGUGUGUGCGUGUGCGUGUGUUAAACCUGUGUCGAAUGUUAUGAUCUAACGGUUUGUUUUACUUAUAAAACGGGGCGAAAGCCUUUUCCGAUAAUUGCAUCAAACUGGUGUGAAUUCUCAACGCCUCUCCUCUGCGCCUAUUUCUCAAGCUCGACAUUGGCUUCUAAAAGCUACAUAUCCCCACAAGAAUUCACCAAAAUGAUACCAAACAUCGUAUGCCUUUUGUUGAUCAAACAUCAAGUAGCCAUGCAUGGAAAUACAAUCUGAAACUUGGGCACCAGUAAACAUGGAGAAAUGCCAAGGUAUACGCUGGUGUGCAUAUAUGAAACUUGGGCACCCGGGUUUUGAAAGUAAUUCUUCAAAAUAUUAAAUAACCUAGAAAAAAAAUAGUCAGUGAUAGUUCAAACUAAAAGGUUGACCGAUGCAACCAAACAAGCAAGAAAGGAACCAACGCAAACAAAUGAAGGAAUAUGCGGAUCGAGGAUGUAUAAUAGAUCAAAUUAACUGGUCCCCUGUUCUAGAAAAAAAAUGGUCGCCUGCAGUUAGUAAUGCAGUGACAGAAAUGCCCUUCCAACUUCUACCCAGCGUCCUAUAAAACCACACCCCAAGAGGAAUGCUACAUCCACACGAAGUUGCAAAGCAACAGCUAGCGCACAUCGGAAGCAGCAGCAGCCAUGAAGCUCUGCUUCUGCCUCGCCGUUGUGACCCUGGCCGCGCUUCUCUCGUCCGAGGCCGUGGUCGCCUGCAUCGACGUGGGCUUCUACGACAGGACCUGCCCGUCCGCCGAGACCCUGGUGCAGCAGACCGUGGCCGCCGCCUUCGGCAACGACUCCGGCGUCGCCCCGGCCAUCAUCCGCCUCCACUUCCACGACUGCUUCGUCAAGGUAAGCCGUAAGCCCAGCCAG
rnacentral:lncRNA from 1 species